CAGAAACCUAGGUCCACCAGAAUCCCUUG
rnacentral:piRNA from 1 species